rfam:Sporanaerobacter acetigenes DSM 13106 genome assembly, contig: EJ96DRAFT_scaffold00008.8
UUUUAUGAGAGUUUGAUCCUGGCUCAGGACGAACGCUGGCGGCGUGCCUAACACAUGCAAGUCGAGCGAAGAAUAUAUAAAGAAAUCUUCGGGUGGAAAUAUAUAUUUCUUAGCGGCGGACGGGUGAGUAACGCGUGAGGAACCUGCCUUGUACUAGGGGAUAGCCUCGGGAAACCGGGAUUAAUACCCUAUGAUACUUGAAAAUCGCAUGAUUUUCAAGUCAAAGCGAUUAAGCGGUAUAAGAUGGACUCGCGUCCCAUUAGCUAGUUGGUGAGGUAAUAGCUCACCAAGGCGACGAUGGGUAGCCGGCCUGAG